UAUUAAACUAUGAUGAAGAGAGUAAGUUUAAAAUAUUUUUAAGAGAAUGUGGGUCUUAGGCUGAAAGCCUACUAAAAUGUUUUAUACUGAAGUUCACUUCUGAGUUCUAAAAGUGAAAUAGUAGUAGCUUUUAGCGAUACAGUAUCGAUAACACUGACUAAGAGAAUAUAAAUUUUUAUUUAUAUUAAUUAGGGUGGUACCGCGGAUUUAGUUCGUCCCUUUA
rnacentral:ncRNA from 1 species